rnacentral:rRNA from 1 species
GACGAACGCUGGCGGCGUGCUUAACACAUGCAAGUCGAACGAAGUGGCGGACGGGUGAGUAACGCGUAAUCAACCUGCCCUUCAGAGGGGGACAACAGUUGGAAACGACUGCUAAUACCGCAUACGGAAGGAGGGGUUUGCGUGUGAUUUGCUCGUCGGAGGGGUAACGGCCCACCAAGGCGAUGAUCAGUAGCCGGGUUGAGACGAGUAGCGGCCAAAAUGGGAAUUAGGAAAGGCACAAAACGCUACGGGAGGCAGAAGGGGGGAAUCAUCCGCAAUGGGCGAAAGUCUGACGGGGCAACGACGAGGUGGUGGUGACGGCUCUCGGGGGGUAAAGCUCUGUUAAUCGGGAAGCGGUACCGGAAUAGAAAGCCACGGCUAACUACGUGCCAGCAGCCGCGGUAAUAC